UAAAAAUUCUUCUCUUCUCUCUCUUCCUUCUCUCUCCUCUUAGCUCAUGUUUAUUAACGUGGGCUGAGGUCGAUAAUGGCGAGGGGUUGAGGUACGGGACGAGGGCGAGGAUGAGAAAGGACCCGUAAUAUUUUAGUUGCAUUUGGAAGCUCUAUUGGGGCUCGAGUACCAGCUAAUUCAGACGGCAAAGGGCAAUAGGAGAACACUACGAUUUCGGAUACUGUGUUGAACGCAGUAGAAUAUGGAUCUAUGUCAAACUCUGGGGCUGUUGCAAAAAAACUACAAUUAACCACUCCCCCAAACUCUGUGGCAGCUAGGGAAGCGCAAUCGAGUGGUGGAAGGGGUAUUUUGGCAGAGCCAAUAAUCAAUGGAACAGUAUCGGGGACUAACAAUGUGCAGCAUGAUGAUGGGGAAAUCAACAAAAAUUCAUGGGAAAAUCUAUUUAGGGGGAAUCGAGCUUCUGAUAAUGGUUUGGUGCAAGGAGUUAAAUCACUAUAGGAUGAAAAAUAUUUGGCUCAAACUCAAAGCUUUAAAGCCAUUGUUGAAGAAGCUGAAUAGAGAAGAGUUUAAAGAUAUUAAUCUAAAGAUAGAAAAGUCCAGACGGGAACUUGCAAUCAUUCAACAACAACUUACAAUCCAUAGUUCAAAUGACUUGUAUAGACAGGAAAACAUAGUUAUUCAGAAUCUUGAUAAAUGAUCACUUAUUGAUGAGAGUGCUCUCAGACAGAAAGAAAGAGCACAAUGGAUCAAGCUUGGUAAUGCAAAUACCAAGUAUUUCUCCGUUGUGAUAAAAAAGAGAAGCCAAAAGAAGCAUCUUGGAGAAAUUUACUCACUUUUAGGCACGAAGCUCACUGAUCCCAAUGGGAUCAAUGAUGAGAUUAUUCUCUUCUAUAAAUCUCUAAUGGGUUCAUCUUCUACCCCUUUACUUGUAGUUAAUAGAGCAGUGAUGAAGAAGGUCCCUAUCCUCUCUCAUCAACAGAAGAUCCAACUAUGUAGAGAUAUUAUUGACCAAGAGAUUUUUGAUGCUUUGCAGUCUAUUGAGGGUGACAAAGCGCUUGGCAUUGAUAGUUGCAAUGCACAUUUCUUUCAAAAUACUUGGCACAUACUGAAAGAUGACAUUCUCCAAACUAUCAAAGAAUUUUUUCAGACAUGUAAGCUUUAUAGAGCUCUCAACUGCACAACUAUUACGUUAAUUCCUAAAACUGUGAGUUCUUCUAAUAUUAAAGAGUUCAGACCUAUAUUGGUAAAGUGCUUGCUGCUAGUCUCCAACCUUUUAUGGCUAGUCUAAUUUGUGAAGCACAGGUACCUAAGAGGAAAAUUGCCGAUAGUAUAAUCUUAGCUCAUGAGCUUGUGAGGGCCUACACUAAAAAACAUAUCUCACCUAGAUAUGUCAUUAAAAUAGAUCUCUAAAAGGCUUAUGACUCUAUGGAAUGGAUCUACCUAGAACAAGUUAUGCGAGAACUAGGGUUCCCUACAAAGUUUCUAGGUUGGAUUAUGGAGUGUGUGAAGAUAAUGAACUAUACUAUAAUGAUUAAUGGAGAACCCUUUGAUGCAACGAAAGGAUUGAGGCAAGGAGAUCCAAUCUCCCCUAUUUGUUUGCUAUAGCCAUGGAGUAUCUUAGUAGAUUAUUGAAUGAUCUUGAGUAAUUUGAUGAAUUCAAGUAUCAUCCUAGGUGUUCAAAACUAGGUAUCACACACUUGAGCUUUGCAGAUGACCUCCUCUUAUUUUCUAGUGCUGAUCUGAACUCUGUUAGUAAGAUACAACAAUGUUUUAAUAUCUUUUAUGAAGCUUCUGAAUUACAAGAAAACUUGAACAAAAGUUUCAUUUAUUUUGGAGGCACUGCUCAGACAAUACAAGCUAGUAUUUUAGGUCAUCUUGGUUUGACACUAGAAACUCUACCUUUCAAGUAUCUAGGUAUUCCUUUAUCUACCAGGAAGCUUACUAUUGUGCAAUGAAUGCCACUUAUUGAGAGGAUUAUAACAAAAAUUACCUCAUGAAUAGCCAAAAAAUUAUCUUAUGCAGAAAGGAUACAACUUGUCCAAUCAGUUCUUUUUGGUAUUCAAGCCUACUGGGCUCAGUUAUUUGUUAUCCCAUCUAAGGUAUUGAAGCUUAUUGAUGUCCACUGCAGAAGCUAUAUAUGGUCAGGUACUAAUACUAUCACCAAGAGAGGCUUGGUGUCUUGGGAAAAAGUUUGCUCUCCAAAAUCAAUUGGUGGUCUCAACUUGAUUAACCUUCAAUUAUGGAAUAAGGCUGCCAUUGCUAAACACUACUGGGACCUAGAGCAUAAACAGGACAAGUUGUGGAUCAAAUGGGUACACUCCUACUAUAUCAAAAAGAUUCCUUUCCAAGAGGUGAUCAUCUCCCUACAAGCUUGCUGGAUGGUGAAGAAAAUUCUGGAAAAUAGAUAAAUUUACUUACAAUUUCAGCCUAAUACCUUGAGGGGUAAAACUAUAAUCAAACAUCUGUACUUACACUUGCUAGGACCUCAACAAAGAGUUCAAUGGAAAUGCUUGAUCUUUCAAAAUGAUGCUAGACCAAAGGCAGUCUUCGCUUUGUGGUUACAAAUGCAAAACAAUCUAAGCACUAUAGAUAGACUCAAAAAAUAUGGGCUAGAUGUUGAUUUGAAAUGUGUUUGUACCAACAUCUUUUUGAAUCCAGAGAUCAUAUAUAUACAAGGUGUUCUUUUGCUUAUCAGGUCUGGUGCAAACUACUACAAUGGAUCAAAUUAGCUCAAACUCCUUACAACAGUUGGGACUAAUAUAUCCUGGGAUCAUAGGCUCUGCUAAGGGAAAAACUCAAACUGCUCAAAUCUUUAUGUUGGUGUACACUGAGUAUGUCUAUGCUAUCUGAUUUGAGAGAAACCAAAGGAUCUUUGAAAAGAAAAGUAGGACUUGGGAAUCUAUUGCCAGGGAAAUUGCUUAUAUUUGUUGUGCUAGGGCCAACCAGAAAACUAUGCAAGCCAUUCAUCAAUUUAUCUUUUAGCUUUCUAGCUUA